CCAAACUCUAAUAUGCUUCAUAAAAUUCCUUCUCCAUAUUUAGAGGAGCUCUUGCAUUAUAAAAGAGGUGGAGAGUAAAUGACCUCAGACAGGUUUUCUUCUGUAUCAUCAAACGGAUGAUAAAGCAUCAGUGUCUGCAGAGGUGAUCUACAAAGGGUGAAAGAUGGGGGAUUUUCAGAUGGAGGAGUUUGCACCUGCCGCUCCGUACCUCAGGAAAUCAGAUAAGGAGCAUCUAGAGGCCCAAUCUUGUUCACCUUCCUGCACGAGCCCGCUGUGCUGUUUAACCUCAAAGAGCGUUACACAGCCUGGAUGAUCUAUACCUACUCUGGGCUCUUCUGUGUCACUGUAAACCCCUACAAGCUUACAGAGGCAAGAAGAGGACUGAAGCUCCUCCUCACAUCUUCUCCAUCUCUGACAAUGAACACCAGUACAUGCUGUCAGGUGGGUCGACACUUCUUAACUUGGUUAGAACGGUGCUUUCCUAUAAAAUAUUUUAUAUGAAAUCAUGCCUUUUCAACAGCAUAGUCUAUUAAUUAAGUCUGAUAGGUGGAAAUGAAUGAAUGGUAUGUAACUUUGUGUAUGAUUUAACACAGGGUUUUCAAACUUUUUGAUGCAAAGGACUAAUGUUAACAACAAACUGCUUCUUUCCACUUCAAGGUCUGCACAGAUCCAACAUUGUAACACGUAUGCUUGAAUUUCUUACUGCACCUGUUUGCAUUAAGUUAACACAUAACCGUUCUGACAUUAAAAACCCACAGUACGGGCGAAGCUCAUUUCAGCAGUUCAUGCACGCAGCCGCAUUACUUACUUAAUCAAGAGCACUCGCGGUACAUGCUGUAAUGCAUCCUUUCACAAGUUCAUCAGUCAGAAAUGAGUGGGUCACCAAGGGACAGAAUGUCCAACAGCUGGAAACUACUUCUUGAUAUCAAAAACACACUCUUGGGCCUAGGUAGCUCAGUGGUAAAGACGCUGGCUACCAACCCUGGAGUCGUGAGUUCGAAUCCCAGGGUGUGUCUCUGUGGUAACACGCUCAACAGGCCACACGAUAAGAUGCGUGGAUUGACGGUCUCAGGCGCGGAGACAACUGAGAUUCGUCCUCCACCACGGAGGCGAGUCACUACACCACCACGAGGACUUACAGCAAAAAAUUGGGAAUUGGACAUUCCAAAUUGGGGAGAAAAUAAUAAAAAAAUCACUCUUAACAAAAUUACCAUUAUAAUACACUUUCUGUAACAUGUAUUAUCUUUGUUGGACUGGUGUACUAUGCCACUGGUGCUCUUUCCAAAUCGGUGUAUGAGAGGAUGUUCCUUUGGAUGGUUGUAAGAAUCAACCAAUCAUUGGACACCAAGCAGCCACACCAGUACGUUAUUGGAGUACUGGACAUUGCUGGAUUUGAGAUGUAGGUAUGAGUUUUACUUUUUUUCCCCCAGGUCACAAAGCUGUAUAUUAUUCUCAAUGUAACAGAAGAAAAUAAAAAUAAAUAAAUAAAAUAAAAAUGACAGAGCAUAUUGACCUUUUUUUUCUAGACUGUAGUUUUGUCAUUAAUCAUCAUAAUUUAAAUAAAUAUUCUGGUUAAGUUAAACUCAUUCCACAGCAUAUGUGGCAUAAUUUUGAUCACCACAAAAAUGAUAUCAAAAAUCUAGGUUACAGUGAGGCACUUACAGUACAAUGGAAACGAAUGGGGCCAAUCCAUUAAUGUUAUAAUACUCACUGUUUCAAGAGUAUUGCCACAAGACUUAAACAUGAUAUUAAUGUGAUAAAAUUGCUUUCUAACCUUAUAUGUGUAAAGUUAUAUCCAAUUGUACAACUUCGUUGCCUUGAUAACAAAAUGCUGUAAAUCAUGUUACCCUCCCCCCCUUCCAAAAUAAUGCUUUAAACAACUUUACAUCUCAAAUAUUAGACAAGUUUUAACAAAAGAAUGAAUGUAAUGUAAAAAAAAAAAAUUAUAAGCUUCACAAUUUUGAUUUUAAACCCUCAAAUAAUUGGCCUCAUUCACUUCCAUUGGAAGUGUCUCACUGUAGAUUUUUUAUUUAUAUAUAUAUAUAGAAAAGGAGGGAUGAGUAGAAAUACAUUUUUGAGGUAAAUGUAUUACCUCAAAUACUGCCAUAAUUUCUGUCAAUUGAGCUUCAAUUGUAUUGAACCAGAAUAAUCCUUUAAAUCCUUAAAAAUACAGAUGAUUCAGAUGUUCAUUUCUACCUGGCUCACUAUGCUGGCACUGUUGACUACAACAUUAAGUUGACUACAACUGCUGUCUAACCUGUUUGCUGGCUAUGCUGCUGCCGAUUCAGGUGUGCUGCAGCAACCCAAUUGCUUAGGGGAAAAAAUAGCUUUUUAAAGGUUAAUUUAUACAUAUGACACAUGAGCAUGAUUUAUAUUUCUUCCAAUCGCUGCAUAGGGUGGAGGACGUGGCAAAGGUGGAAAGGAGAACAAGAAAAAGGGCUUUUCUUUUCAGGUGGUGUCUGCCCUUAACAGGGUAACAUACAGAGCAUUUAAUAUUGGAAUACAACAUUCUAGUAGUUUCUAUGUCUACUGACAGCCUAAAAUAUAUUACAAUCCUCAGGAGAAUCUGAACAAGCUGAUGACCAAUUUGUGGUCACUUUGUGCACUGCAUCAUCCCCAAUGAGACCAAGACUCCUGGGGCGAUGGAGAAUCCUCUGGUCAUGCACCAGCUGCGCUGUAACGGUGUGCUGGAUUCUGUAUGGCGAUUUCAAGCAGAGGCAUACUUAACUAUGACUUAAGAUUUAUUUAAGCAUCAAAGACUUAAAUGCUAAAAUGAGCAUAAACAUCCAUUCAAAAGGAUAAUGAUUUACCGUACAUUGAAGGUGAAUCUCAAAAAUGAUUAUUAAUCUCUUGAUUGUGAAAGAGACCACAUCAUGAACCAUUUUGCUAUCCUUGGGGGACAGUUUAUUGACAGCAGGAAAGGAGCAGAAAAACUACUGGGAUCUCUGGACAUUGACCACAACCACUUUUUUACAUUUUCAUUCCAUGUAUUGUCUAACAUUAGAUUAUCUUGUUUCUUAUUAAGGUGUUCUUCAAGGCUGGUUUUCUGGGUACCCUUGAAGAGAUGCCAGACAAUCGUCUUGCUCUCAUCAUUACCGGAAUUCAAAGAAGAAUUCACAUUGCUUUAUCACAUUAAAGAAGGAAUUGAAUCCUGAAGCUCGUUUGACUUUGGGGAAAUGCACUGAGGCCCUUGGUGGGACUUUUUGGCAGUGAGUUUUGCCACAGCAAGCACCACUCAUAUUUUCUUUAGGUAAUGUACAUAUGUAAUUUCCAUUGUAUACAAUGAAAGGGGAGCGUUCAAGGCAGCUGGAAGAGAAGGAUUAAAAAUGAUGAACUCUUAUGAGGAAUCUCUGGACCAUUUGGAAACCACGAAGAGAGAGAACAAGAACCUCCAAAUUGAGUUAAAUCAGGUCAAAACUGACAUUGAACAUAAGCUGACCGAGAAAGAUGAGGAGAUGGAUCAGGCUAAGAGAGACCAGCAGAAAGUUGUGGAUACUCUGCAAAGCUCACUUGAUUCAGAGACUCACAGCACGCAUGAAGCCUUCAAGCAGCUCACCUACCACGUCACUAUCUGAUAUAGAAAUAAACGUCUUUGUAUUCAUACUAUCACUACUGAAAGCAUAUGGGUAACAAGAAAGUCACUUCAUACCCUGAGACAAUUUGUAGACUGAUGAGGACUGAUGCAGGAGUCUUCUGCAGGACCUGGUGAACAAAUUGCAGCAGAAGUUCAAGUCUCACAAGAGAGCUGGAUAGGAGGCAGUAUGUUUAGGAGAACUAUUUCUAUUCAUUUAUGUCUUCUCUGGAAAUAUAUUUUACAUUUUAAUAGACAGAGAAUACGUAUCUCUGAAACUGGAACAUAAUAAUACUGCAUAUGUGUAAAAUUGGAAUUUACCAUAUCGUUUAUCAAACUCAAAAAAUCUAAAUAUGCCCAAUCACUUCCUGACAAGAAUACAUUGUUGUUUAGGAGGAACAGGCCAACUCUAAUCUGGCCAAGUUCUGUAAGCUGCAGCAUGAGAUGGAUGAAGCAGAAGAAAGAGCUGAUAUUGCUGAAUCUCGUCAACAAACAGAGCCAAGAGCCGUGAUACUGGAUCUAAGAAAGGGCACGAUGAAGAGUGAAGCUCUCACAUGGAUCUUUCUGAAAGUGUGCCUCUUCAUUAUCUGUAGUUCUGUAGAAUAAAUGAAUAUGUAAAUAAGUACCUGCUUCUGCACUAUUGAUGUUGUUUUAACACUGAG